AAGGACGAAAGCAAAACAUUUGAGAUGACCUUGGAGGACAGCAUGCACACUUCUGUAGGAAAACAACAGACUGGCUUUUGGUGAUCGCAGAAAGGCAUGUGAAGAUACUUUGACUACUCAUGCAAAGGGGAAGGUGAGUAAAAAUGUUGCUGUACUAAAGCUUCGGUUUCUUUUGGGAUGGUGGUGAAAUGAGUCCUGCAUGUGUACUGGGACCUGGAGAUGGUAAAGUGUCGAAAAUGACAAAGGCAAGUGUUACUGCAAUGUGGGAAAGGGUAAUGUGAGAUAAUAUUUGCGAUGACGAGUAAAGUGAUGUAGGUGGUUUCUAGAGAUGGCCAUGGAAAUAGCCAUCUCAUAAGAAGACUGUGAAUGGGAGAGGAAUACAUGGCAGCAAAACCUUAGAGCAGGGACCUGGAGAGACGGGGCAGUGGCAAAGAGCUUGUUCUGUUCCUGCAGACAACCUGAACUGGUUCUCAGAACACACAGAGGAUGCCGAUUGCUACUUGUCUAUUUCUAGAUGAUGGCUCUGUACAUCUUAGGACAGAACUGUUCCUAACACAAAGGAGGGCAAUGUAUCAAGCACCUACUUUUUUUGUUAAUCGAUUGUGACUAUCCAAUUCCUUUGUUCAAAUUAUGUGUUCACCAGGCAGCCUUCUAGUUUGUAACUGGUUUCUUGAAUGGGAAGACCCACCAUCCACAAAGGCCUUAUGCAGGUAAUAAGGGUCUGGUCUUGCCAAGUAUA
rnacentral:lncRNA from 1 species